CAUUGCCAGUAGGUUAGUUGCUUCCAAGUGCCGACGCUGCUGUGUUAAAACUUCGACGGGAAAAGGAUCGAUUUUAAAUGGCAACUUCAACCCGGGGAAUGAAGAUUUAUCUGUAAGGGUUGCAUGCACCAUCAGGAGCCUUGAAUUUUGGCACUGGCCUAAAAGGAGGAAAGUAAGAGCUCUACCCUUCAAGGGAAGGAAAUACAUUUAACACAAUGAAUUACAAAGAGUGGAAUGAAGGCUUUGCAAACUACGCAUAUCACCAUUCAGAAACACUGGAAAUGGACAGAAGUGAACAGGGGAGACCUUCUGCAAUCCACACAACUCCACUGCAAUCUCCCUACCAGCAGAAUCCAUUAGAUUCACCAG